rnacentral:tRNA from 2 species
GGCGUUGUAGCUCAGCUGGUUAGAGCGAACGACUCAUAAUCGUUAGGUCCGCGGUUCAAGUCCGCGCAACGCCACCA